UCUUACUACUCUGAAAUCGAAUCCACCAUCACUCUCAGUCUCACUCUCAGUGCUCUGAAUUUUUCAAUCUCGCUCUGCCUCCUCAAUCUCUCAGUUCUCUGAAUCUUUCAUUCUUGUUCUGCCUCCUCAAUUUUUGGUUUUGCCUCUUCUCGAUCUCUCACUCUGCCUCAUCGAUCUCAUGCAUGAUUCAAUCGCAGACUCAAUCUCAUUCCAGUAAGGUCAAAUUAAAGGAGAUGUUUAAUUUGAGGAGGUAGGAACCCUAAAAUUGAUUGUGAUGGGGCGAGGAAAGAUUGCGAUUCGAAGGAUCGACAAUUCAACAAGCCGGCAAGUAACAUUUUCGAAGAGAAGGAAUGGAUUGCUGAAGAAA